GAUGAACGCUGGCGGCGUGCCUAAUACAUGCAAGUCGAGCGAACGGACGAGAAGCUUGCUUCGCUGAUGUUAGCGGCGGACGGGUGUGUAACACGUGGAUAAUCUACCUAUAAGACUGGUAUAACUUCGGGAAACGGGAGCUAAUACCGGAUGAUAUUUUGAAGCGUAUGGUGCAAAAGUGAAAUACGGUCUUGCUGGCACUUCUAGCUGGUUACGGGCUGCAUUAGCUGGUUGUGAAGGUAAAGGCUUACCAAGGCAACGAUGCAUAACCGACCUCAGAGAGUGAUCGGCCACCCGGGAAGUGAGCCACGCUCCAGACUCCUACGGGAGGCAGCAGAAGGGAAUCGGCCGCAAUGGGCGAAAGCCUGACGGAGCAACGCGGAGUGUGUGAUGAAGGUCUUCGGAUCGGAAAACUCUGUUAUUAGGGAUGAACAGAUGUGUAAGUAACUGUGAACAUCGUGACGGUACCUAAUCAGAAAGCAACGGCUAACUACGUG
rnacentral:rRNA from 1 species